UUAAAAAUGUGUGACAAGGUUGUUGAUGACAGUGGAAAACCUGUUCACCUCUCUGAAGAACAGACUAGGAAUAUCUCAGAUGUUAUAAAUGGCUUUGCUUCUGAAGCUCUGAGAACCCUCUGCUUGGCUUUUAAAGAUCAAGAUGACAUUUCUGAAGAAAACAGCAUCCCUGAUUUUGGCUACACAUUGGUAGCCAUUGUUGGAAUCAAGGAUCCAGUGCGCCCUGGAGUCAGGAAUGCAGUUCAGACUUGUUUAGAAGCUGGAAUUACUGUUCGUAUGGUAACUGGUGAUAAUAUAAAUACAGCUAAAGCUAUAGCCAAAGAAUGUGGCAU
rnacentral:misc_RNA from 1 species